CGCGGCCUAUCAGCUUGUUGGUGAGGUAAUGGCUCACCAAGGCGACGACGGGUAGCCGGCCUGAGAGGGUGACCGGCCACACUGGGACUGAGACACGGCCCAGACUCCUACGGGAGGCAGCAGUGGGGAAUAUUGCACAAUGGGCGAAAGCCUGAUGCAGCGACGCCGCGUGAGGGAUGACGGCCUUCGGGUUGUAAACCUCUUUCAGUAGGGAAGAAGCGAAAGUGACGGUACCUGCAGAAGAAGCGCCGGCUAACUACGUGCCAGCAGCCGCGGUAAUACGUAGGGCGCAAGCGUUAUCCGGAAUUAUUGGGCGUAAAGAGCUCGUAGGCGGUUUGUCGCGUCUGCCGUGAAAGUCCGGGGCUCAACUCCGGAUCUGCGGUGGGUACGGGCAGACUAGAGUGAUGUAGGGGAGACUGGAAUUCCUGGUGUAGCGGUGAAAUGCGCAGAUAUCAGGAGGAACACCGGUGGCGAAGGCGGGUCUCUGGGCAACAACUCACGCUGAGGAGCGAAAGCGUGGGGAGCGAACAGGAUUAGAUACCCUGGUAGUCCACGCCGUAAACGUUGGGCGCUAGGUGUGGGGGCCAUUCCACGGUCUCCGUGCCGCAGCUAACGCAUUAAGCGCCCCGCCUGGGGAGUACGG
rnacentral:rRNA from 1 species